UUUCCCAAGCAGUAUCAUCUCCCAGGGCUGCUUUGUUAGCACACAGUAGAUCACAGCUUGUGAUAGGUAAGGCCACAGCCCAAGCUAAACGAUUUCAUUAGGCACAUGCUGACUUAGCCCAGAUUGUUCCCUUCGGGUCCUGGAUACUAUAUGGAAUUGAAUAAUCUUCCAUCAUAAUUACUAGAAGCAUCAGAAGCAGCUGUUGCCUCCUCC
rnacentral:lncRNA from 1 species